rnacentral:rRNA from 1 species
CGUGUAGGCGGUCGGUCAAGUCCGGUGUGAAAGCCCGGGGCUCAGCUCCGGAAGUGCAUCGGAAACUAGCCGACUUGAGCGCGAUAGAGGAGGGUGGAAUUCCUGGUGUAGCGGUGAAAUGCGUAGAUAUCAGGAGGAACACCGGCGGCGAAGGCGGCCCUCUGGAUCGUUGUUGACGCUGAGACGCGAAAGCGUGGGGAGCAAACAGGAUUAGAUACCCUGGUAGUCCACGCUGUAAACGAUGGGUACUAGGUGUUCGGGGUGUUGACCCCCUGAGUGCCGACGCUAACGCAUUAAGUACCCCGCCUGGGGACUACGGCCGCAAGGCUAAA